CCCAGCCACGUGCCAUCAACACUAGCCAGCAUCAGAGGCAGCUGACACUGAGAUGUCUUGACUUGGAAAUCUUGUGAAUGUGCAGAGCAGUUUAAGACAAACUUAGGAAGGCCCAGGCCCAGCCAUAUUGUAAAGAAGAGACUGGCAGGUGUCCAACAAGCUGCUGUUAGGAAAUGUCCACAGUAAGCACUGCUCUUACCAGCCGGAACACGGACAUCCCAGGUCAGCAGUUCCUUCAGCCUGUAGGAGGAAAAGCAAAAGGUCAGCCCCAUCGCCUAUCAGUCUGGAGCCCUAAAGAACAGGUGCCGUGUGAACUGUCAGCCUGUCCUCAAGUAUUUUGAUUGGAGUUUGCCUCCAGGAACAGCUCUGACUAGCUGGAGGACUGAG
rnacentral:lncRNA from 1 species